AACGUAGGACACAAGCGUUAUCCGGAAUUACUGGGCGUAAAGGGAGUGCAGGCGGUUGUGUAAGUUAGGCGGGAAAGACUUCGGCGAAAACGGGGGAGGUCGUCUGAUACUGCACAACUAGAGUAUGGUAGAGGCGUGUAGAAUUCCGGGUGUAGUGGUGAAAUGCGUAGAGAUCCGGAGGAAUACCAGUGGCGAAGGCGGCACGCUGGGCCAUAACUGACGCUAAGCCUCGAAAGCAUGGGUAGCGAACGGG
rnacentral:rRNA from 1 species